UACGAAGGGGGCUAGCGUUGUUCGGAAUCACUGGGCGUAAAGGGCGCGUAGGCGGCCGAUCAAGUCGGGGGUGAAAGCCUGUGGCUUAACCACAGAAUGGCCUUCGAUACUGUUUGGCUUGAGACCGGAAGAGGUUAGUGGAACUGCGAGUGUAGAGGUGAAAUUCGUAGAUAUUGGAAGAACACCAGUGGCGAAGGCGGCUGACUGG
rnacentral:rRNA from 1 species